GGAGGGGGCAAGCGUUGCUCGGAAUUACUGGGCGUAAAGGGUCCGCAGGUGGUUUUGCAAGUUAGAUGUGAAAGCUCAGGGCUCAACCCGGAAACUGCAUCUAAUACUACAAAACUAGAGUCUAGGAGAGGUUGGCGGAAUUCUCGGUGUAGCGGUGAAAUGCGUAGAUAUCGGGAGGAACACCAGCGGCGAAGGCGGCUAACUGGCCUAGUACUGACACUCAUGGACGAAAGCGUGGGUAGCAAACCGGGAUUAGAUACCCGGGUAGUCCACGCCCUAAACGAUGGAUGCUAGGUGUAGGGAUUUAAAUCUCUAUGCCGUAGCUAACGCAUUAAGCAUCCCGCCUGGGGGAGUACGGUCGCAAGGCUG
rnacentral:rRNA from 1 species